rnacentral:rRNA from 1 species
GACGUAGGUGGCGAACGUUAUCCGGAAUUAUUGGGCGUAAAGGAUGCGUAGAUGGUGUAGUAAGUUAUCGGUGGCAAAUCGAGGCUCAACCUCGUGGAAGUCGGUAAUACUGCUAUGCUAGAGGAUAGGAGAGGUUAACGGAACUCCCUGUGGAGCGGUGAAAUGCGUAGAUAUAGGGAAGAACACCAAUCAGGCGAAGGCAGUUAACUAUUCUAAUUCCUGACAUUGAGGCAUGAAAGCGUGGG